rnacentral:tRNA from 1 species
GUUUUUAUAAUUUAAAUAAAAAUAUUGAUCUUGUAAAUCAAUAAUAAGAGUAAAUCUUUAAAAACU